GGACUACUCUCUCCGUCCCGAAUUACUUUCUUAGAUUUGUCUAGAUACGGAUGUAUGUAUCUAGACACGUUUUAGUGUUAGAUACAUCCGUAUCUAGACAAAUCUAAGACAAGUAAUUUGGGACGGAUGUAAUAUUUU
rfam:Triticum aestivum genome assembly, contig: Triticum_aestivum_CS42_TGACv1_scaffold_194499_3AL